CUUUUAAAUUCUAGGAGACCUGUUACAUAAAAGGAUCUGUUAUGGACCGAAGAAGUUUUAGCAAUUCUCUAAAACUAAGAAAAUGACCGACAAAUUCCAUUGCCAGCUGUCGCGGUUAUUAUGGUGGAUCAGAGGAAAACUAAUCAAUUUACUCUAGAAGGAAAGAAUACAGUGAAAUGUUUCUUAUUUUUAUUAAAGGAUCAAAACGACAAGGAUCAGAUACCCUUUUAAUUUUACCAAAACAAACAGGAAAGGGUACUGAAGGAAUUUUGCUAGUGUAUAUUACUUAGGGGGGACUGGGAGUUAAAGUGAUAAUCCUCAUAAAAUUUCCCUAUGCAAUAGUUUCCAAAUCGCUGUCCUAGCCCUUUAAAAAUCGGGAUUUAGGUUUUUCCUCAUGGGUCAAGUGAGAAAGAAUCCACUUUAGGGGCUUCCUGGGCCACACUAACAAAAGAGACGCACUUAAAAGUAAAUCUUAAAGCAAGGCUGAAACCAUUAGUGCAGGGACAAAUCGCUCGGUGACUCUGAAAAGAGUAAGCCGCAACAAGGUAAGAGUACUGGAAGGUGUUCUU
rnacentral:rRNA from 1 species